UGGCUACGUCUUCCUGAGAACCUGGGGUAUUUGUCGGGAUGGUUCCUGGAGGCAGGGGUGGCAGAAGGAGACUGGCAGGACCUUACUCUACAGAGGGUCUUUUCCAGUGGUCUGCACAGCCAGGUCCUAAUGGAACACACUCAGCUUAAGGAGCAGGUGGACAUGCUGAGGCAGGAGAAGAAGAAUUGGACAGCAGAUUGGGUCCUGCUGAAGCACCGACUUGGAGGCAUUGAAAUUGAUGUGUGAGGGCCAAGAGGAAGAGACCAGUGACCUCCAAAACCAGCAACAACAGGAAUUUGAAAGAUUGGAGGGAAGCCUGCAGGUCCUGUGGAAGCAGAAGGAGAUGAUCACCCAGGAAAAGGACUUGGCAGAAAAGCUGUAGCAUCACUUUGAGGUCUCCCAAAUGAGGUCAGAGAAACUGAUACAUGAGAUGGAACAGGCCACAGCCCAGGAUGAGAGCCUGCUUCAGAAGGAGCUGUUAAACCAGGAGCCACCUGCUGAGCCCAAUCUCCGGGAAAUUCUGGAUUAUGAUGCACUUUCUCCCUAUUAUUUUAUUUCCUAUGUGUGAAUAGGCCUUGAUUAUGCCCAGCCAUUGACCCUGGAUGUCUGCUUCUGGGCCUUGACUCCCUUUCCUUCUUGACAAUACCGCUUGAGAAACUGAGGAAGCCAAAGGAAGCCACAGACACCUUGAAAGCAUGACUUCUUUCACCCUAGGAUCAAGGCCUC